CUCUGGUAUACGGCUCUGGAUAGAUGAUCCCCAUGAUAUAAACUCCCCAAGAUGAUGCUAGAGAAGUAAAUUGGCUCCACAAAGAGGCUAAGUAAGGCUCCUUGAAUACCCAAUACGUUCCACCUUGCUAUCUUGUCACUGCAUGACAUAGUAAGUAGCCUUUCUCCUUGCAAUACUCCAUCCCAUGUCUGGAUAGUGGUAGUAGAGCGCACAGGGAUUGUUCCUUCCCCAGAUUCUAUUUUUGUUCGUAGCUG
rnacentral:lncRNA from 1 species